UGGGGAAUAUUGGACAAUGGGGGGAACCCUGAUCCAGCCAUGCCGCGUGUGUGAAGAAGGCCUUAUGGUUGUAAAGCACUUUAAGCGAGGAGGAGGGUACUGGUAUUAAUACUACCAGGUACUGGACGUUACUCGCAGAAUAAGCACCGGCUAACUCUGUGCCAGCAGCCGCGGUAAUACAGAGGGUGCGAGCGUUAAUCGGAUUUACUGGGCGUAAAGCGUGCGUAGGCGGCUAAUUGAGUCGGAUGUGAAAUCCCCGAGCUUAACUUGGGAAUUGCAUUCGAUACUGGUUAGCUAGAGUGUGGGAGAGGAUGGUAGAAUUCCAGGUGUAGCGGUGAAAUGCGUAGAGAUCUGGAGGAAUACCGAUGGCCAAGGCAGCCAUCUGGCCUAACACUGACGCUGAGGUACGAAAGCAUGGGGAGCAAACAGG
rnacentral:rRNA from 1 species